AAAAGCGUGAGAUGUAAUCAUUUCGUCAGAAAUAUACACACUUGCAUUACUGGGGUUGGUUUGUUAGUUUCCACUGCAAAAUACCCACCCCACUCCAUCUAUGAAAUUCACUUGCAGAAUCUCACUUGAGUCACUUCCAUAAGCCAUUGAUNGUUCCAGAAACAACCAUCUUCUUUAUAGUUGAUGAACGCUUUGUCCCUUCAUCUUGGUUUAUCACUACAUUGAAAUGGUUUAAGGUAUUGUUCAGGAUUUGCAGCCUCUUGUAUUAAUAACAUCUCCAUGCUGAUUAUGUUUAUCAAUUCGUCCUUCUCAUCAUGUAUAUCUACUACUCAUUUUUAACACAGUCAGUCAGUUUCCAAAUUUGCAAUAUUUUUCAACUUCUGGGUCUUAAAAGAUUUGUAGUUUGCCUCUUUCCGUGUUAUGAUAUUUCUAUAUGUUGUACAUCGUACUUAAACUACUUUUUAUCUUCAAAGUUUGUAUUUUUUUUCCAAUAACUUUUGAUAGAUGCAUUAUAGGUGCUUGAUAGAUUUUGACACUAGUAACUCAUUCUUUUUUUUAUGUUCCAUUCUAGAGUGAGCUCUCAAAUUCUUCUUACCUCUAUUAAGAAACAGAAAUUGAAAAUAAACUGAAGAGAGAAUCUCAAUCUUAACAAUUUUACAAGUUUAUGCUAUUCAUUCUGAGGAAAUGCUACCAUGUUCUGCAUGAACUCCGAAAUAUUGUCGAAUGGUUGGAAAUAAAAACAUUUACAUGCUCCAAAUGUGCUUUACUUUAUUUAUCUGUUCCUCUUUUAGGUUGUAACUCCUAUUAAUGAAUGUUAAUUCUCUGUCUUACUAAGAAUUUCAGUAUUUAUUGUAUCUUUUAUGCCUUUUCACAUUAACUGUGCCCUUGAUGCUGAACUCGUAGUACUAUAUCCGAAUGGGAAUGUGCAAAUAUGGUGCUUCCUGCAAGUACCACCAUCCAAGACAGGGAGGUGGAUCUUCGGGCUCGGUGACCCUAAAUUUUGAUGGAUAUCCAUUGCGACUGGUCUGCCACUUUGAUUUUUAUUUUCUUGUUCUAUUUUACAAUUUAUGGUUUCAAUUGGAUCGAGCUUUUAUACAAUGUACAGAUGUAUCAUAGAUUUCUCAUUCAGGGUGAAAAGGAUUGUUCGUAUUAUGCUAAAUAUGGGCAGUGCAAGUUCGGCAUCACCUGUAAAUUUAAUCACCCACACUCAUCUGGUUUACGGAUGUCAGUACCAGCACGUGGGCCCGGAUCAUUGCCUACACCAGUAACUGUACCUACACCUGUGGUCUAUCCAACUCCCUCUGUGCAAUCUUCCCAACAAUAUGGGAUAUUUCCCGGCAACUGGCCAGUUGCAAGACCGGCUGUGUUUCCACCUCCAUAUGUUUCUGGGACUUAUGGUCACAUGCUUCUUCCCCCAGCAGUUGUUCCAGGUCCGGGUUGGACUCCCUACCCGGUAGGUGUAGCUGAAUUUGUUUGUUUUAUGUGGAGUUUUCUAGAAUGCCCUUCCGACUAUAAGUUGUGGUACAGGCUUCAGUUUGUCCUGUGGCCUCCUCAUACCCUGAACUCACCGUUGGGGCGGACCCAGUUUAUGGGAUAAACCAGUUAUCUCCUUCAGCAACUGUUUACACAGAAGUGACUGGACCAUAUUCAGGCAGCAGUCAGCUGGAACAUGCAUUUCCCGGAAGACCAGGGCAACCAGAAUGUCAGUAUUAUUUGAGAACUGGAAAAUGUAAAUAUGGACGUACAUGUAAAUAUCAUCAUCCACCAGAGUUGAAUGCACCAACUACAAAUUAUGUGCUUAGUCCACUGGGUCUUCCCCUACGCCCGGUAAGGUUAUCAUUCUCUGUGCUUUUCACGACAGAUGAGUUUCCAUGCCUGAAAAAACUGUUCAUGAUAGAUGAACUAUUUCUAGUUAAGGAGUGAAUUAGUGGGUUUAUGCCACAGAUUAUGGUUGAAUUGUUUUCAAGUGUAAUUACUGCAUAUCAUGGUAUAAUUGGAUGAAAUUAGAUUGCUCUUUUUGUCUUAUAGAAUUAUAUCGAGAAAUGAUUAAGGGUACAUGACUCUUCAAAUUUCUUUACUUGGUUGAAUUGUAGACCUUCUCAGUUAAAAUUAGUAGAUUUUAAUGGCAUAUAAUUUUAUGGGAUCUUGUCUUUUCUUUCUUUUGGUGUCUUUUGACUACUUUCUUUGUUCUUUUCUUUUNUUCCACUGCAAAAUACCCACCCCACUCCAUCUAUGAAAUUCACUUGCAGAAUCUCACUUGAGUCACUUCCAUAAGCCAUUGAUGGCUUAUAAAGAUUGAUAUCUAUGUAUCUAUUAUAUAGACAUAUAUUUUGUGCGAAUAUUUAUACAUAGUUGUAUGGUAUUUUAGUGUGUAUAGAGUG
rnacentral:lncRNA from 1 species